rnacentral:rRNA from 1 species
UACGGAAGGUCCGGGCGUUAUCCGGAUUUAUUGGGUUUAAAGGGAGCGUAGGCCGCCCCUUAAGCGUGUUGUGAAAUGCGGGUGCUCAACAUCCGACUUGCAGCGCGAACUGGGGGGCUUGAGUGCGCCGAAAGUAGGCGGAAUUCGUGGUGUAGCGGUGAAAUGCUUAGAUAUCACGAAGAACUCCGAUUGCGAAGGCAGCUUACUGUAGCGCAACUGACGCUGAUGCUCGAAAGCGUGGGUAUCGAACAGGAUUAGAUACCCUGGUAGUCCACGCGGUAAACGAUGGAUGCUCGUUGUCGGCCUUUGUGGUCGGUGACCAAGCGAAAGCGUUAAGCAUCCCACCUGGGGAGUACGCCGGCAACGGUGAAACUCAAAGGAAUUGACGGGGGCCCGCACAAGCGGAGGAACAUGUGGUUUAAUUCGAUGAUACGCGAGGAACCUUACCCGGGCUUGAACUGCGGCGGAACGAUUCCGAGAGGAUGAGGCCCUUCGGGGCUGCCGCGGAGGUGCUGCAUGGUUGUCGUCAGCUCGUGCCGUGAGGUGUCGGCUUAAGUGCCAUAACGAGCGCAACCCCCGUCUUCAGUUGCCAUCGGGUUAUGCCGGGCACUCUGGAGAUACUGCCACCGCAAGGUGUGAGGAAGGUGGGGAUGACGUCAAAUCAGCACGGGCCUUACGUCCGGGGCUACACACGUGUUACAAUGG